AUUGAACGCUGGCGGCAUGCUUUACACAUGCAAGUCGAACGGCAGCACGGACUUCGGUCUGGUGGCGAGUGGCGAACGGGUGAGUAAUACAUCGGAACGUGCCCAGUUGUGGGGGAUAACUACUCGAAAGAGUAGCUAAUACCGCAUGAGAACUGAGGUUGAAAGCAGGGGAUCGUAAGACCUUGCGCAACUGGAGCGGCCGAUGGCAGAUUAGGUGGUUGGUGGGAUAAAAGCUUACCAAGCCGACGAUCUGUAGCUGGUCUGAGAGGACGACCAGCCACACUGGGACUGAGACACGGCCCAGACUCCUACGGGAGGCAGCAGUGGGGAAUUUUGGACAAUGGGCGAAAGCCUGGUCCAGCAAUGCCGCGUGCAGGAUGAAGGCCUUCGGGUUGUAAACUGCUUUUGUACGGAACGAAAAGCUUCGGGCUAAUACCCUGGAGUCAUGACGGUACCGUAAGAAUAAGCACCGGCUAACUACGUGCCAGCCGCCGCAGUAACAC
rnacentral:rRNA from 1 species